rnacentral:rRNA from 1 species
ACGAACGCUGGCGGCACGCUUAACACAUGCAAGUCGAACGAGAGAAGAGGAGCUUGCUUUUCUGAUCUAGUGGCGGACGGGUGAGUAACACGUGAGCAAUCUGCCUUUCAGAGGGGGAUACCGAUUGGAAACGAUCGUUAAUACCGCAUAACAUAAUUGAACCGCAUGAUUUGAUUAUCAAAGAUUUAUCGCUGAAAGAUGAGCUCGCGUCUGAUUAGCUAGUUGGUAAGGUAACGGCUUACCAAGGCGACGAUCAGUAGCCGGACUGAGAGGUUGAUCGGCCACAUUGGGACUGAGACACGGCCCAGACUCCUACGGGAGGCAGCAGUGGGGAAUAUUGCACAAUGGAGGAAACUCUGAUGCAGCGAUGCCGCGUGAGGGAAGAAGGUUUUAGGAUUGUAAACCUCUGUCUUCAGGGACGAAAAAAGACGGUACCUGAGGAGGAAGCUCCGGCUAACUACGUGCCAGCAGCCGCGGUAAUACGUAGGGAGCGAGCGUUGUCCGGAAUUACUGGGUGUAAAGGGAGCGUAGGCGGGAUCGCAAGUCAGAUGUGAAAACUAUGGGCUUAACCCAUAAACUGCAUUUGAAACUGUGGUUCUUGAGUGAAGUAGAGGUAAGCGGAAUUCCUAGUGUAGCGGUGAAAUGCGUAGAUAUUAGGAGGAACAUCAGUGGCGAAGGCGGCUUACUGGGCUUUAACUGACGCUGAGGCUCGAAAGCGUGGGGAGCAAACAGGAUUAGAUACCCUGGUAGUCCACGCCGUAAACGAUGAUUACUAGGUGUGGGGGGACUGACCCCUUCCGUGCCGCAGCAAACGCAAUAAGUAAUCCACCUGGGGAGUACGACCGCAAGGUUGAAACUCAAAGGAAUUGACGGGGGCCCGCACAAGCAGUGGAGUAUGUGGAUUAAUUCGAAGCAACGCGAAGAACCUUACCAGGUCUUGACAUCGUAUGCAUAGCUCAGAGAUGAGUGAAAUCUCUUCGGAGACAUAUAGACAGGUGGUGCAUGGUUGUCGUCAGCUCGUGUCGUGAGAUGUUGGGUUAAGUCCCGCAACGAGCGCAACCCUUACUGUUAGUUGCUACGCAAGAGCACUCUAGCAGGACUGCCGUUGACAAAACGGAGGAAGGUGGGGAUGACGUCAAAUCAUCAUGCCCCUUAUGACCUGGGCCUCACACGUACUACAAUGGCUGUCAACAGAGGGAUGCAAAGCCGCGAGGUGGAGCGAACCCCUAAAAGCAGUCUUAGUUCGGAUUGUAGGCUGCAACCCGCCUACAUGAAGUCGGAAUUGCUAGUAAUCGCAGAUCAGCAUGCUGCGGUGAAUACGUUCCCGGGCCUUGUACACACCGCCCGUCACGCCAUGGGAGUCGGUAACACCCGAAGCCUGUAGUCUAACCGCAAGGAGGACGCAGUCGAAGGUGGGAUUGAUGACUGGGGUG